rnacentral:tRNA from 1 species
UACAAUUUGGCAGAAUUAAUGCUCUUAAUUUAGGUUUAAGUUAUAGAUAUAUAAAUCUAAUUGUAU